AGCACAGGAAAGGAGGGUUAUUGAUCAGCACCCACCAGAACUCAACAAGUCAGUAAGAGCAAAAGGCCAGGCUGCCGGCAUUGGCCUUCAGCCCCGUCCGCACCCUGAGCCAGAGCCCACCCCCCGACCUGCCAGAUCCACGGGGAGGCCUGCCGGAUCUCCUGUGCAGGGGCCAUACCAGGCUGAGCGGAUGGCAGCCUCGAGGAGGGGGCACAGGGAGAAGAGGGCUGAGAAGAAGCCGAAGGAAAAGAGGGAACGAGGGACUUCCCUGGUGGCCCAGUGGUUAAGACUCCACACUUCCAGUGCAAGCGGCGCGGGUUCAAUCCACAGUCAAGGAACUACGAUCCCACACGCCGAAUGGCGUGGC